CCCCGGACCUACCCCUCGCGGGGCCUCGGCCUCCAGCGCCAACCGCCUUCGCGCCAACCGCCUUCGGGAGCGUCUGGGCUCUUGCACCUGCCCCCCCGCGCGGACCCGGGACACCCGGCCAGGCGCCCGCGUCCUGCCGCUCCCGAGCGUGUUUGCGGACGUUGGAGCCGGUCGGGGCCACCGGGUGGUUUUUCUCUUUGUCCUUGUAAAGAGCGAGCGCAGGUAUAUGUAGGCAUAAAUGAACAUGGGAACUGGCCUGAGUGGAAAUAUCCAGAGAAUGCCUUGAGCAUGACCCAGAGUCGGAACCUGAGAAAGAUUUCAAGAUGGCCAAGUAGCUUUGGACAGGGUUAGCUGCGAGAAGCGGGGGCCAAACAUACCCCUUGACCAUCACGAUGCAGCAGGCCAGCACCAAAGAAACCUGGAGAAGCCGCUGAAUAACAAUGGGAUUUUACUUACUGAAGUUGCCC
rnacentral:lncRNA from 1 species